rnacentral:rRNA from 1 species
AUUGAACGCUGGCGGCAUGCCUUACACAUGCAAGUCGAACGGUAACAGGUUAAGCUGACGAGUGGCGAACGGGUGAGUAAUGUAUCGGAACGUGCCCAGUCGUGGGGGAUAACUGCUCGAAAGAGCAGCUAAUACCGCAUACGACCUGAGGGUGAAAGCGGGGGAUCGCAAGACCUCGCGCGAUUGGAGCGGCCGAUAUCAGAUUAGGUAGUUGGUGAGGUAAAGGCUCAACAAGCCGACGAUCUGUAGCUGGUCUGAGAGGACGACCAGCCACACUGGGACUGAGACACGGCCCAGACUCCUACGGGAGGCAGCAGUGGGGAAUUUUGGACAAUGGGCGCAAGCCUGAUCCAGCCAUGCCGCGUGCGGGAAGAAGGCCUUCGGGUUGUAAACCGCUUUUGUCAGGGAAGAAAAGGUUCUGGCUAAUACCUGGGACUCAUGACGGUACCUGAAGAAUAAGCACCGGCUAACUACGU